rnacentral:rRNA from 1 species
GCAUAUCAAUAAGCGGAGGAAAAGAAACCAACAGGGAUUGCCUCAGUAACGGCGAGUGAAGCGGCAAAAGCUCAAAUUUGAAAUCCCCCGGGAAUUGUAAUUUGAAGGUGGUCUCAGUUAGAUUAAAACAUGCUUAAGUCCAUUGGAAAAUGGCGCCAUGGAGGGUGAUAGCCCCGUAAAGCAUUGUUCAAUCUAUUUUCUUUGGCCACCAAAGAGUCGAGUUGUUUGGGAAUGCAGCUCUAAGUGGGUGGUAAAUUCCAUCUAAAGCUAAAUAUUGGCGAGAGACCGAUAGCGAACAAGUACAGUGAUGGAAAGAUGAAAAGCACUUUGAAAAGAGAGUGAAAAAGUACGUGAAAUUGUUGAAAGGGAAGGGCUUGCAAGCAGACACAACCUCGGUUGGGCCAGCAUCGGGGCGGGGGGAAGCAAAAAGGCGCGGAAAUGUAACUCCUUUUUGGAGUAUUAUAGUCCGUCGCUCAUACUUCCAUCCCAUCCCGAGGCCUGCGGUAUCUCCUAGGAUGCG